GUGAGCAGCCAUAUCACCCUGCAGCCCAAGACUGGUUGCCAACUGAACCUAAGCAGGGUUGAGCCUGGUCAGUGCCUGGAUGGGAGACCUCCUGGGAAAACUAGGUUGCUGCUGGAA
rnacentral:rRNA from 1 species